UACAUAGGGUGCAAGCGUUGUCCGGAAUUAUUGGGCGUAAAGAGCUCGUAGGUGGUUCGUUACGUCGGAUGUGAAAAUCUGGGGCUCAACCCCAGACCUGCAUUCGAUACGGGCGAACUAGAGUGUGGUAGGGGAGACUGGAAUUCCUGGUGUAGCGGUGGAAUGCGCAGAUAUCAGGAGGAACACCAAUGGCGAAGGCAGGUCUCUGGGCCAUUACUGACACUGAGGCACGAAAGCCGGGGGAGCAAACAGG
rnacentral:rRNA from 1 species